rnacentral:rRNA from 1 species
UACGGGGGGAGCAAGCGUUGUUCGGAUUUACUGGGCGUAAAGGGCGCGUAGGCGGUCAGCACAAGUCAGUUGUGAAAUCUCCGGGCUUAACUCGGAAAGGUCAACUGAUACUGUGCGACUAGAGUGCAGAAGGGGCAACUGGAAUUCUCGGUGUAGCGGUGAAAUGCGUAGAUAUCGAGAGGAACACCUGCGGCGAAGGCGGGUUGCUGGGCCGACACUGACGCUGAUGCGCGAAAGCCAGGGGAGCGAAUGGG